rnacentral:lncRNA from 1 species
GCGAGAGGCACAGGAUCUGCGGUGCUGUGAGUGAAUUUCAGAAUCCAUGAGCUUUGUCCAAUUUGGUCAAAAUUUGUGCAUUGGGAGGAGAAAUGCGGGGGUGGAGGCAACAUGAAGAAUGGGAGCCUGAGCAUUGGAAGGUGGUAUGGAGCUCACUCCCCGAGUCGAUAUCCUUCGAUGGGCAGCCUAGUCCUGCCCCUGAUUACGUGGGUAUCCUGAAGAUCAAAUGAGGACCAGCAGAGAUUUAUCAAGCAGACGCUGACUCACUCUCGGAGAGAUAAUUGGUAUCACGGUGGAGCCAAAUGUAUGUGGCCAGGGUCCAGCCCUCAAUACCCACAUCCAGGU